rnacentral:rRNA from 1 species
CACGUAGGUGCGAGCGUUGUCCGGAAUUAUUGGGCGUAAAGAGCUCGUAGGCGGUGUGUCGCGUCGGCCGUGAAAACCUGACAGCUUAACUGUGGGCUUGCGGUCGAUACGGGCAUCACUGGAGUUCGGCAGGGAGACUGGAAUUCUGGUGUAGCGGUGAAAUGCGCAGAUAUCAGGAGGAACACCGGUGGCGAAGGCGGGUCUCUGGGCCGAUACUGACGUGAGGAGCCGAAAGCGUGGGGAGCGAACAGG